ensembl:snRNA U6 U6 spliceosomal RNA
GGGCUCACUUUGGCAGCAUAUAUACUAAAAUUAGAAUGAUACAGAGAUAAUCAGCAUGACCUUGUGCAAGAAUGACAUGCAAAUUCCAGAAGCAUUUCAUAAUUUU